CGGUGGGAUUCGAACCUACGACCUUUGGAAUACUAGCCCAAUGCUCUUUCAACUGAGCUACGCGGUCAGGACGGUUCGAGUAAGUGAUAUUUCGGAACAGUAUCUAGUUCCUUCAACACCAAUGUGUUCUUGUAAGAUGAAUUUUUUUCUGUGUUGGUGUUGUGUACUCAGGUACCAACCGUGGCCGGCCAUAUUUUUCAUGCUCGCCCGGUGUGGAUAUGCACUCAGAGUAACAUCGCAGGCAUAUUAUUCACCUGAAUACACAACACCAACACAGAAAAAAAUU